rnacentral:rRNA from 1 species
GACAGAGGGGGCAAGCGUUGCUCGGAAUCACUGGGCGUAAAGGGCGCGUAGGCGGGAUGGCAAGUCAGUCGUGAAAAUCUCUCGGCUCAACCGAGAAAACGUCGGCUGAUACUGCCGUUCUUGAGGGAUGCAGAGGAGACUGGAAUUCCCGGUGUAGCGGUGAAAAUGUGUAGAGAUCGGGAGGAACACCGGUGGCGAAGGCGGGUCUCUGGGCAUCUCCUGACGCUGAGGCGCGAAAAGCGUGGGGAGCAAACGGGG